rfam:Gossypium hirsutum cultivar TM-1 chromosome 21, whole genome shotgun sequence
AACCCAUGGUGAGGGCACCUUCUCAAUAAAUCCUUAUACCUCUCCCAUGCAUCAUAAAGGGUUUCUAAAUCCAUUUCCAUAAAGAAAGAGAUAUCAUUCCUUAGCUU